rnacentral:rRNA from 1 species
UACGUAGGGUGCAAGCGUUUAAUCGGAAUACUGGGCGUAAAGCGUGCGCAGGCGGCUUUGCAAGACAGAUGUGAAAUCCCCCGGCUCAACUGGGGAACUGCACGGGAAACAGCAGGGCUUUGAGUUCGGGAGAGGGAAGCGGAAUUCCGGGUGUAGCGGUGAAAUGCGUAGAUAUCCGGAGGAACACCGGUGGCGAAGGCGGCUUCCUGGACCGAUACUGACGCUGAGGCGCGAAAGCUAGGGGAGCAAACGGG